rnacentral:tRNA from 1 species
UCCUUGAUGGCCUAGUGGUUAGGACUCGGCAUUUUCACUGCUGCAGCCCAGGUUCAAUGCCUGGUCUGAGAA